rnacentral:rRNA from 1 species
UACGUAGGGGGCUAGCGUUGUCCGGAAUCAUUGGGCGUAAAGAGCGUGUAGGCGGCCCGGUAAGUCCGCUGUAAAAGUCAAAGGCUCAACCUUUGAAUGUCAGUGGAUACUGCCGGGCUAGAGUCCGGAAGAGGCGAGUGGAACUCCUGGUGUAGCGGUGGAAUGCGCAGAUAUCAGGAAGAACACCAACGGCGAAGGCAGCUCGCUAGGACGGUAAUGACGCUGAGGUGCGAAAGCGUGGGGAGCAAACAGG